GUGCUCACUUCAGCAGCACAUAUACUGUAUAACAUUGGAAUGAUGCAGAGAAGAUUAGCAUGGCCCCUGCGCGAGGAUGACACACAAAUUUGUGAAAUGUUCCAUAUUUUU
ensembl:snRNA U6 U6 spliceosomal RNA